rnacentral:misc_RNA from 1 species
AGAAACUGAGCAUCUUGAAGGGGGUGGUCUUCCAUGCAACAAAUUUCAUUUCCUGUUAAUCCACCAGUGGCAUGCUCCUUGGUUUCACUCUUUGCUUACAUAUGAUCUCACUCGCUAAAAGUUUCGAUGAUAUUGGUUGAUAAUUUUCCAAGAAAACCAACAAUAUCCUUUAUUUCAUUGUUCUCUUCCGGUUUUGAUACAAGUCUCCAACCUAAUGGUGGUGGGUGGGCCUUCCGCUACAGAAGCCAAGCUAGUAUUACUAGAAUGCAGCAUAUAUAAGAGUAGUGUCCAGAGUCCAAUUGCAGCAUUUGGUCAGUAUAAAUAUUUCACUUUUAUUUAUUUAUUCAGUAACCAGUUGGUUUGCAGCAGACAGGAGGACAGCUCUGCAACAAGAUCAAGGAACAGUUAAAGAUAUAAAAUUUCUUCACAUUCUCUUUCCCAUCAACAAGACAUUCGACCUCUUUUGCUAGUCUUCCAUGGCUUUGAUUCUCUCUCUUUCUACUGCGUUUUCAUCUGCUGUAAGUAAUUAGUUUUACUAAUCUCUUAUUUUGGUGUCAUGGAAAGGAAGAAGAAGGA